rnacentral:rRNA from 1 species
AGAGUUUGAUCCUGGCUCAGAUUGAACGCUGGCGGCAUGCCUUACACAUGCAAGUCGAACGGCAGCAUGGAGAGCUUGCUCUCUGAUGGCGAGUGGCGAACGGGUGAGUAAAGCAUCGGAACGUACCGUGUAGUGGGGGAUAACGUAGCGAAAGUUACGCUAAUACCGCAUACGCACUGAGGUGGAAAGCAGGGGAUCGCAAGACCUUGCGCUAUACGAGCGGCCGAUGUCAGAUUAGCUAGUUGGUAGGGUAAAGGCCUACCAAGGCGACGAUCUGUAGCGGGUCUGAGAGGAUGAUCCGCCACACUGGGACUGAGACACGGCCCAGACUCCUACGGGAGGCAGCAGUGGGGAAUUUUGGACAAUGGGGGCAACCCUGAUCCAGCCAUGCCGCGUGAGUGAAGAAGGCCUUCGGGUUGUAAAGCUCUUUCGGCCGGGAAGAAAUCGCACAGGCUAAUAUCCUGUGUGGAUGACGGUACCGGCAUAAGAAGCACCGGCUAACUACGUGCCAGCAGCCGCGGUAAU